CCGGGGUCGACAUAAGAUUCAUGACCUGUGGAGCUCUACUGUAUAUCAGGUGGUAAAAGCCCCUCUGUCUGGUGGUUCAGUGUAUACAGUGGCUCCGGUUAACGACCUGACUCAAGUCCGGCAUGUCCAUCGGUCAGCAUUGAAACCUCGAGUCCAAGGGGAGGCAGUAGCGGAGGACCUCUCCGAAAGUUCAGUCAAUUUACCCAUGCCCUCAGAACCUGAGGAAGAAUUGGAAGAUGGGGACUUGGCAUAUGUGGUUUCCGAGGUCCCAUCGUUAGCUCCUGGAGGGAACACUUUGAGAGCAGAUCUAUCUGGAACAGUGCUGGUUGCUGAUCCCCCAGCACCCACAGAAGCAUCCAAUGGGGAGUUGGUAUCUGAAGAGAGAACCCUCCCCUUGGAGUCUCCUAAUCCAUUAGAGGUGGUUCCAUGCCGGACGGGACGAGUAGGGGCAGGUCAACAUUCUAAUGUGCACCGUUUACCACGGGUGAUAGGAGCUGGAAAUGUGAAUCCUCCAGCCUGUGGGGCCAAUUCAGUUAUGGCAUGAUUUAGGCCUUGGAAGUAGGGUCUCGUGUUUAAAUAUUUCAACGUCGGGACGACGAUGAAGAAGGGGGGGUAGAAUGUAGCAGUACGAUCUGCCCUCCCCUGAUGUCAUCUAGUAAAUUGAGGGCAUGUCUGGUUAGGGUUGUUUACCUGCCUAUAAAAUCGUUUCCGUUUGUGCUAUGCGUGUGCGUUCGUCCGGUGUAAGCGAGCGAGCCACCGUACUUCCGGGCUUUUGUGUGCAUGGUGACGAGGUAGGAGCGUUUGCAGUGAGUGUUUUGAAAUGCUGAUGGUCUUGCACUGGGUUUUACGAACCGAUUUUACUUCGGUGGACUGAGGAGCUUUUCGGGAAGCCCUUUAAUCGCAGUCCGUUAUGGAGACAGUUGUUUUGUACAGCUACAUCUGUGCUUCGUGAGUCGCAGUACAGGUGCGGGUCAAUGUGCAAGGGACGUCGCAGUGGGCUGCUGUAGUGGGCUUGUCGUUUGCUGUGUGGCUUUUCUGCACUGUGCAUCGUUUAAUAGUUUUGAUGUUUCGCCGACUAACUGUUACCUGUUCUAUCCAACUACGGCUGCUUCACGCUGUGUCUAAUUUGUUUGCUUCGCUUUGCUCAGCUGCGCGUCUCAUUCCAUACAUUUGGUCUUUGGAACUGCGCUCUUCCAUCUGCUUUCAUGCGGCUGCAUUAACAGCGGAUUGAUAUUGACGUUAAUAUAACGUUGUCGGGUGACGACUGUGUAUUGCUGCAUCAACUGAGAACUUGCAGGAUCAGCUGGUCCGCGGUCUGGACUCGGGGUAUGGCGUUUAUUUCCCACCAGUACUGUGAGUAACUGAUUGAAACGUGGCGUGCAACAGGGUAAUUGCUACCUAACUGUCACUAGCAUUGUUUUCUUUCGUCUGGGGUUAUUGUGUUCGAUGUAAUUGUUUAUUUUGUAUUAUUCUCCUUUGUUUAUUAUAAUCUUUCAUGAUUUUUUUUAGUUUUUUUGUUAUUUGUUUGACUUUGUAGUAUGUCUUUUGGUUCUUGAUCAAUCCAGUGGAUUUAUUAUUAUUAUAUCAUUGUUGUUGUUUUUUGUGUACCUGUGUUCGGUGGUUCUUUGUACUGGCGUUCUGCUUCUUUCUGCCUGCUGGUAACCCAGUAGCUGGGCCGCUUUAUGGAACCAGUAGGUUUGGAUGUGACUGUUGAGAACCAGGUUGCUGUAUGUGAUGCUUGUUUCAAUUUAUGUGUUUUUAAAUUGUGAUUUCUGUUUCUUUUCCCUUCAGGAGUGGGGUGGCCGCCGGCAGCAGUGUAGCCUCUUGUGGUGGUGGGCCCUUUACCUAUUUGCAGUGAUCACAGUGAAGUGUGCCGUGCUGUGGUGUGUGUGUGUGUGUGUGUGUGUGCACGCGUGAGCGCUAUCUCCUCUGCUCAAAGGACGCCAUGCCUUCCCCCUCCUUGAAGUGGGACGUUUUGUUUGUUUCUAAUUAUUUGAUAUAGUGAAUACAAUUUGAAUCUGUUUUAAAUAAAGUUGUCCUAACUUAACUCUGGCCUGAUACCUGACCCAGUCGUGACGAACCUGUGUGCUUUAAAGUUAAGGGCAGUCCCGGAUAUAGCCUCCGGGUGGCGUAGUCUGUAGAACUUACCAGUCCGUACCGCCACAUUUGGCGUAGUCGGCAGGGUUUACCAGUCCGUACCGCCACACCACUAAUAAACUUACAAAUUCACAAAGCAAUAAAAAACACAGGAGAUGAACUUGCCACCUGAAGUAGUGGUACAACAAGGACGGUCCAUUGCCCAAAAGUUUUGUUUAGCACAAUAAACAUUGUACUAAAUCCACCAAUAGCACCUUUGUUAGAUUCCACUUUAUAUACUUGUGAGGAUUUCUUGAACUUUUUUGUAAGUAAGAUUGAACAUAUUAAAAAAGAUAUCGUUCCCUGCAGUAUUGUUCUGGAAGUCCCCAUGUUAAGUUCUUACAUAUUUGACUCUUUUGAUCAUGUCUCCCUUCCAUUUCUUGCAAAUUUAGUCAAGCAUAUAAAAUCAUCGUCCACUUCACUGGAUGCCGUUCCUCCACAGUUUCUAAAAGCUGGGUUCAAAACUAUGGGCCCUAGUAUACAGUCAAUUGUGAACAGCUCUCUAUCUAAUGGUUCUGUUCCAUCUUGUCUUAAACAUGCAGUGGUUUCUCCUUUACUUAAAAAACCAAGCCUAGCAGCUACAGAACUGAUUAACUUCCGUCCCAUUUCUAAACUACCGUUCCUAUCUAAAGUCAUAGAAAAGGUUGUUUUAUCACAAAUUACUCCUUUUUUAUCUACUAAUGCUCUUUUAGACGAAUUUCAAUCUGGUUUCAGAGCUGGUCACAGCACAGAGACUGCUCUGAUAAAAGUUUUGAAUGAUUUGUUUUUAGCAUCUGACUCUGGGAGGGCUGUGGUUUUAAUUAUGUUAGAUCUCAGUGACACUGUGGAUCAUUCAAUUCUUUUAAAAAGGCUGGAGUGUGAGGUUGGGUUUAGGAGUACUGCUCUGAAAUGGUUCCAUUCAUACCUUAAGGAUAGAACAUUCUCUGUUAAUUUUGCAAAUGUCUCUUCUUCUGUGGUUCCUUUAAAAUACGGUCUACCUCAGGGCUCUAUUUUAAGUCCUAUAUUGUUUUCUCUGUAUAUGCGCCCCUUGGCAUCCAUCUGUCGGCGUUAUGACAUCUCGUACCAUAUGUACGCAGAUGACACACAGAUUUAUUUUACCCUUAAAGUUGGUGAUGAACAGUCUUUGCAAUCUUUGUUACUCUGUCUGAAUUAAAUUAAAAUUUGGCUCUCUAAUAA